rnacentral:lncRNA from 1 species
UAUAAAAGGACAAAAGGGUAACUUUACAUAAAAAAUUAAAUUAAAAAUAUCUAAAAAUGAAAGAAAUCUACCCCAACCCCCUACACAAAACCACUCACCCAUUGUACCCUACCCCAAAAUGAAAAAAUAAAUUAGGAAUAAAAAAACACAAACAACCUCCGGCAUUGUCGUCGCCACUACCCACGUAAUGUCGGAUAAACCACCGGAUCUUGACACCACCUCAUCCCACUCUACAAACUCAUACCAAAAAAGAGUUAAAAUUCUUCGAUUCCAUCAUCUUCAUCCUUCAAUAUCUUCCUUAUUACUAACAUUUUUCGAAGCAUCAAUCGAUGAACUAUGUUUUUGCUAUCUCUGAGCAGCCGUUGCCUCUUCCACCACACGGCAUGGCUCGACCCACCUACGAAUCUAUGAAAACAUUUCUCAAUUCUUAUCCAGGUCCUUCUCUGGUGUACGACAUUUUCCAGCUCCUUGAUUUCCUCGCAAAAUGAACAUCGUAAGCAAAAGACAAAAUAGCAUCAACUUCCCAUUAUGCAUAAGCCUCUAGAUUUGCCACCUACGACGGAGGCUCAAGAAUCGAUCCAGCAGAACUUCUCCUUUAUAUGGGAAAGGUUUCCAAUGCGGAUUUUGCCGUUGUCGAGCUUAAAAGCGGAUGAUGAUCCCUAAUCAAGAGUUUGGUCCUAGCUUUUCGAUUUCAUCUUAAGUUCUGUCCUCGCAAAGAUAUGAGGGCAUUUUUGUACCCCAGGACGGAUACGAUGCUCAAUCUGGAUUAAAAUGGGUUCAGAAAAAGGAUUGUUUAAGCAAAAAUAGGAUCUAAAAAAUGGGAUUUUUGAAGUUGAUUACUAAAAAUGAAAUGGGUUUCUUGAAUAGUGAGAUUGAGAGAAGAAGAUGAAAGGGGAAAAGGGUCGAAAAGGUGAAGAAUUGAUUUUUAGAUAGCGAAUAAUUAGUUACGAUGUGAUUACGCAUAGUAAAUUGAUGGUGGAGGUUGUGGUGGGGUAGCUAGUUGUGGUGGCGUUGUCUUCGUGUUUUUCGACGAAGAGAUGAAGGAGAUGACCGGGAG